AUUGAACGCUGGCGGCAGGCCUAACACAUGCAAGUCGAACGAGUGGAGGACGGGUGAGUAAUGUCUGGGAACCUGCCCGAUGGAGGGGGAUCACUACUGGAAACGGUAGCUAAUACCGCGUACCAUCGGAUGUGCCCAGAUGGGAUUAGCUUGUAGGUGAGGUAACGGCUCACCUAGGCGACGAUCCCUAGCGGGUCUGAGAGGCUGACCCGGCACACUGGAACUGGUACACGGGCCAGACUCCUAGGGGAGGCAGCAGUGGGGAAUAUUGCACAAGGGGCGCAAGUCGGAGGGAGCUAUGCCGCGUGUAGGAAGAAGGGCUUCGGGUUGUAAAGUACUUUCAGCUGGGAGGCGUUACCCGCAGAAGAAGCAACGGCUAACUCCGUGCCAGCCGCCGCGGUAAUUC
rnacentral:rRNA from 1 species